GACAGAGGGGGCAAACGUUGCUCGGAAUCACUGGGCGUAAAGGGCGUGUAGGCGGGUAGGAAAGUCAGAUGUGAAAUCCCUGGGCUCAACCCAGGAACUGCAUUUGAAACUCCCUUUCUUGAGUACCGGAGAGGAAGGUGGAAUACCUGGUGUAGAGGUGAAAUUCGUAGAUAUCAGGUGGAACACCAGUGGCGAAGGCGGCCUUCUGGACGGUAACUGACGCUGAGACGCGAAAGCGUGGGGAGCAAACAGG
rnacentral:rRNA from 1 species